rnacentral:rRNA from 1 species
UGUAACGACUCUGAACAACGGAUAUCUCGGCUCUCACAUCGAUGAAAAACAUAGCAAAAUGCGAUACUUUGUGUGAAUUGGAGAAUCCUAUGAACCAUCAAGUCUUUGAAUGCAAGUUAAGCAUGAAGCUUCCUGUCGAGCGCGCAUCUGUUGGAUGUCACGC